GGAAUCUUGGACAAUGGGGGCAACCCUGAUCCAGCGACGCCGCGUGGGUGGUGAAGGCCUUCGGGUUGUAAGGCCCUUUCACCGGGGACGAUGAUGACGGUACCCGGAGAAGAAGCACCGGCUAACCCCGUUCCAGCAGCCGCGGUAAGACGGAGGGUGCUAGCGUUGUCCGGACUCACGGGGCGUAAAGGGCGCGUAGGCGGCCUGGGAAGUCGGCUUGUGAAAGCCCGGGGCUCAACCCCGGAGGUGCGGCCGAUACUCCUAGGCUCGAGGCCGGAAGAGGAGGGUGGAAUACCCAGUGUAGAGGUGAAAUUCGUAGAUAUUGGGUGGAACACCGGUGGCGAAAGCGGCUCUCUGGUCCGGUCCUGACGCUGAGGCGCGAAAGCGUGGGGAGCAAAC
rnacentral:rRNA from 1 species